rnacentral:lncRNA from 1 species
UUUUUUAAGAUUUCAUUUAUUUAUUCAUGAGAAUACACAGAGGAGAGAGAGAGAGAGGCAGAGACACAGGCAGAGGGAGAAGCAGGCUCCAUGCAGGGAGCCUGACAUGGGACUCGAUCCUGGGUCUCCAGGAUCACGCCCCGGGCCGAAGGCAACGCUAAACCGCUGAGCCACCCAGGCUGCCCUAGUUAUAAUCGAUUUAAACAUAACAACAAAUAUUUCCACAUUUUUCGCCACAAAUGAAGAAACAUUUAAAUGUCAGUCAUCCAUUCAAGUCAGUUCAGCUAAGAUAUCUCACUUACACACAUGAAAGAAUUGGCAUAGAUUUAAUCUAAGAUGAAGAUGGGAUAACAAAAAGAAAGUCCUAGAAUACUCCUAUGAUUGAGUAUGAAUUCAACGAAUAUCUGUUCCCCCAGAUCCUUCUCCCCAACCUUAAUUCUUUUCGUAGAAGCAGACAAGUGAACAAGUGCAACAUUCUAAUUCCAUUUACCUUCCCCAGCACAGUGCCACAUAAUGCCAGCUGCAUCAUGCCAGUUCCUGCAGACCGCUAGUCUCUUCAUCAUAGGUCCAAUGAACCAUCAAGGUCCCUUUCAAGUCAAAUAUGCUCUGGGGAAGUUCCACUGCCAGUUCCUUUCAGGAUAGACCUUGGAAAAAGCCUGGAGAGACUUUGCUCCUCCCCCUGCUCCUGUCCCAGAUCUAGAGCAGCAACCCAUCUCGGGUUAGCCAACCUGGGGUCCCUGGGUAAAUCAGGUGAGUGGAAGAGCUGGCAGACUGGUGAGUUUGGAGGGAAGACAUACACUAAGUUGCUUGCAUGUUUAUUAUUUAAUGCUUUAAAUACAGAAUUCAUUCAAAGUGCAUCAAGCAGUCCUUAAUGACCUUUAAUGGACCUCCUCCUUACAUAAUUCUCCCACCACAACCUCCCCACAAAAUGCUUGAUGCAAAAAAACAAAACACAUACAUUCUAUUAAGAAGCCUAAGAAGGGAGACAAAUGACCUGAACAUAAUUGUAUUUUAAACAAGAGGAGCAGGGAUCCCUGGGUGGCACAGCGGUUUGGCGCCUGCCUUUGGCCCAGGGCGCGAUCCUGGAGGCCCGGGAUCGAAUCCCAUGUCGGGCUCUGGGUGCAUGGAGCCUGCUUCUCCCUCUGCCUGUGUCUCUGCCCCUCUCUCUCUCUGUGACUAUCAUAAAUAAAUAAAAAUAAAAAAAAAUAAAAAUAAACAAGAGGUGCAGUUAGGUCAAUACAGCACCAAGUACGUUAAGCAGUUCUUGAAAUAAUGUAAACAUGAUCCAAUUUGCACUUUUUGCUUGCUUGGUUUUGUUUUUUCCUUUUUUUUUUGUUUGUUUGUAACAGUUUUACUAAGAUACAAUUCACCCAUUUAAAGUGUGUACAAUUCAGUGCUUUUUAGUGUAGAGUUCUGCAGCUAUCACCACAAUCCAUUUUAAAGCAUUUCAUCACCCCAAAAAGAAACUCACACCCCUCCUUAUUCUCCCACCCCCAUCAAAUCUAACUAUGUUGAUAACCAACCAAAGUAAAUUUUAUAAAUCCUUUAAAAGCUGCUUAAUAUCCAUUUUUCCUUCUUAAAGUUAUUGACUAUCUUUCUGUUCUGGUUUCUGACUGGCAAUAUUCACUACAGGGUUAGGACUAGAGAAAGUACCUAGCCUCUGGCCCAAAGUAUCAGGCAGCACUGAAGCACUCAGAUUUAUCAAGCUAUUGUAAUGCAAUAUUUAAAAAUUAUUAAUGAUUAUUUAUGACUAUUUAUGAUUUAAAAAUUAAAAUGAAUGCAAAAGCCCCAGAAUUGUAAAUAAAGGCAGAAUUCCAUAAUCCUUUUUGUGAUAAAAAGUUA